ensembl:lncRNA
GGGCGACAGUGGUACAGUGGUAGAGAAGUCGUUUAGUAAUCAGAAGGUUGCUAGUUCGAUUCCCUGUCGAAGCGUCCUUGAGCAAGGCACUGAACCCCUAAUUGCUCCUGAUGUGCAGUGUGCCAUCAGUGUAAAUGUAAAAUGUGUAUACAUUGUAAGUCGCACAUAUGUAAGUCGCUUUGGAUAAAAGCGUCUGCUAAAUGACUAAAUGUAAAUGAUAGUGGACAGAGCUAGGUGUCCGUAUAUGUAAUAUGUGAUUAUAGGUUAUGAGUGGACAGAGCUACGUGUCUGUAUAUGUAAUAUGUGAUUAUAGGUUAUGAGUGGACAGAGCUACGUGUCCGUAUAUGUAAUAUGUGAUUAUAGGUUAUGAGUGGACAGAGCUAGGUGUCUGUAUAUGUAAUAUGUGAUUAUAGGUUAUGGUGAUGAGGAACAAUGUUAUCACAGCCAUCAGCAUUUACAGGUAAAGCUUUUACUAGAGAAGAGAACCGAGACAGGUUAGAAACAGAAUAUCAGAAAAUCAAUCAUAC